CACGUAGGUGGCGAGCGUUAUCCGGAUUUACUGGGCGUAAAGCGUGUGCAGACGGGGUGGCAAGUGGUGUAUGAAAGGGUGAGGCUCAACCUCACGAUGGUAUGUCAGACUGCUGCUCUAGAGGGCGAGAGAGGGAUGUGGAAUUCCGGGUGUAGUGGUGAAAUGCGUAGAGAUCCGGAGGAACCCCAGAGGCGCAAGCGGCGUCCUGGCUCGCACCUGACGUUCAGACACGACAGCAUGGGGAGCGAACGGG
rnacentral:rRNA from 2 species